rnacentral:rRNA from 1 species
CCUACGGGAGGCAGCAGUGAGGAAUAUUGGUCAAUGGCCGAGAGGCUGAACCAGCCAAGUCGCGUGAGGGAAGAAUGUCCUAUGGAUUGUAAACCUCUUUUGUCGGGGAGCAAAGUCACCCACGUGUGGGUGUUGGAGAGUACCUGAAGAAAAAGCAUCGGCUAACUCCGUGCCAGCAGCCGCGGUAAUUCGGGGGAUGCGAGCUUUAUCCGGAUUGAUUGGGUUCUAUGGGUGCAGAGGCGGGUUAUCAAGUCAGCGGUAAAAUCGGGGAGCUCAACUCCAUCCAGCCGUUGAAACUGAUGAUCUUGAGUGGGCGAGAAGUAUGCGGAAUGCGUGGUGUAGCGGUGAAAUGCAUAGAUAUCACGCAGAACUCCGAUUGCGAAGGCGGCAAACCGGCGCCCGACUGACGCUGAAGCACGAAAGCGUGGGUAUCGAACAGGAUUAGAUACCCUUGUAGUC